rnacentral:rRNA from 1 species
GCCUACAGCCAUGCCACCCUGAACUCACCCAAUCCCACCUGAUCUUGGAAGCUAAUCAGGGUCAAGCCUGGUUAGUACUUAGAUGGGAGACCACCUAGGAAGACUGAGUGCUGUAGGCA